AACGAACGCUGGCGGCAUGCCCAACACAUGCAAGUCGAACGAAGGCUUCGGCCUUAGUGGCGCACGGGUGCGUAACGCGUGGGAAUCUGCCCUUGGGUUCGGAAUAACAGUUAGAAAUGACUGCUAAUACCGGAUGAUGUCGUAAGACCAAAGAUUUAUCGCCCAGGGAUGAGCCCGCGUAAGAUUAGGUAGUUGGUGGGGUAAAGGCCUACCAAGCCGACGAUCUUUAGCUGGUCUGAGAGGAUGAUCAGCCACACUGGGACUGAGACACGGCCCAGACUCCUACGGGAGGCAGCAGUGGGGAAUAUUGGACAAUGGGCGAAAGCCUGAUCCAGCAAUGCCGCGUGAGUGAUGAAGGCCUUAGGGUUGUAAAGCUUCUUUUACCAGGGAUGAUAAUGACAGUACCUGGAGAAUAAGCUCCGGCUAACCUCGUCGCCAGCAGCCGCGGUAAGUGACGUCAG
rnacentral:rRNA from 1 species